UACGGAGGGGGCAAGCGUUGUUCGGAUUUACUGGGCGUAAAGGGUGUGUAGGCGGCUGCGCAAGUCUGGUGUGAAAUCUCCGCCGCUUAACGGGGAGGGGUCACUGGAAACUGCGCAGCUCGAGUAUGGUAGAGGCAAGCGGAAUUCCUGGUGUAGCGGUGGAAUGUGUAGAUAUCAGGAAGAACACCGGUGGCGAAGGCGGCUUGCUGGGCCAUCACUGACGCUGAGACACGAAAGCGUGGGGA
rnacentral:rRNA from 1 species